rnacentral:tRNA from 1 species
AAUGAUAUGCCUGAUUUAAAAGGAUUAUUUUGAUAGAAUAAAUCAUGCAUUCGAUGCUUUCAUUA